rnacentral:rRNA from 1 species
GAUUUCCCAUAACUUUAUGUUAGUAAGAGCCCUGAGAGAUGAUCAGGUAGAUAGGUUGGAAGUGGAAGUGUGGCGACACAUGUAGCGGACCAAUACUAAUCGCUCGAGGACUUAUCCAA